AGGUGCGUAGCUCAACCGGAGGAGCGUCGGUCUCCAAAACCGAAGGUUGCGGGUUCGAGGCCCGCCGUGCCUG
rnacentral:tRNA from 1 species